GAGUAAAUUGUAUAUUAGAUCUACAUGCCCGAUGAAAAAUCGUCUCAGCCAGCUGCUGACAUUGGGAAGCGUAUUUUCUACCAAAUAAUCUAUCCGGCAAUUCACGUUCGUCUAAGAUAUUAGCUGAGGGAAAGG